rnacentral:tRNA from 1 species
ACGGUUUUAGUUUAAUGGUAAAACGUUCGUUUUCCAAACGAUUUUUGUUGAUUCAAAUUCAACAAACCGUA